UACGUAGGGGGCAAGCGUUGUUCGGAUUUAUUGGGCUUAAAGGGUGCGUAGGCGGCUCUGUAAGUCAGUGCUGAAAUAUCCCAGCUUAACUGGGAGGGUGGCAUUGAUACUGCGGGGCUAGAGUACAGAUGAGGUAGGCGGAAUUGACGGUGUAGCGGUGAAAUGCUUAGAUAUCGUCAAGAACACCUAUAGCGAAGGCAGCUUACUAGGCUGUAACUGACGCUGAGGCACGAAAGUGUGGGGAGCAAACAGG
rnacentral:rRNA from 1 species